CAGUAGCCACGGGAAUACGGAGGGUGCAAGCGUUAUCCGGAUUUAUUGGGUUUAAAGGGUCCGUAGGCGGAUCUGUAAGUCAGUGGUGAAAUCUCACAGCUUAACUGUGAAACUGCCAUUGAUACUGCAGGUCUUGAGUAAAUUUGAAGUGGCUGGAAUAAGUAGUGUAGCGGUGAAAUGCAUAGAUAUUACUUAGAACACCAAUUGCGAAGGCAGGUCACUAAGAUUUAACUGACGCUGAUGGACGAAAGCGUGGGGAGCGAACAGGAUUAGAGACCCGCGUAGUCCCUGUCUCUUAUAA
rnacentral:rRNA from 1 species